rnacentral:lncRNA from 1 species
CUGGAAAGGAGCUGCUGUUGGAGAUCAAUUAACUACUUGGAAACUGCAGCCGUCCCCCACAGGCAGGAAAAUAUUAUUCCAGUCCUACUGCUCAGGCAAAACCUUUGCCAUGCCAAAGGCAGGGUGAAGAGAUAAACGGAAAGAGGUAUUUUGCUUGGAUGGAUAGAUUGGUGCCGUUCAAUGCAACUGUCUGAGCAUCGGCCUUGUGAACCGGUUCGUAGUGUCACUGCAAACUGGGCCAAAUCCAUCCCCGAUCCAGCUCCAGUGAAAUGAAUGGACCACAUUCUCAGCUGGUGUGAAAUGACACGAAAAGUCAGUGAACUGUGCUCGUUUAUCCCAGCCAAGGACCUGGCCGAUAGGCGUCCACGACUGAUGUGGCUGAAAUGUCCAAUUAAG